rnacentral:ncRNA from 1 species
AUAAAGUUUAAUUUUAGCUUAAAGAUUUAUUUAAUUUUUUAUUUACAUGUAAAUUUUUGUGGGGUUUAAAUAUUAAUUUAAAAAAUUAUUUUUUAAAAAAUUAUUCGCAGUAUGAAAUUUUAUUGAUUUAAGAAAUUAAGAAUUAUAAAUAAAUGUUAGUAUUAACAAAAUUUGUGCCAGCAGUUGCGGUUAUACAAAAAAUAUAAAUAAAUUGUAUUGAAUAAUAAUUAAAUAGAUUUAUUUUAAUUAAAAUAAAAUUUAUAAGGUGAAAUUUAAAAUUUUAAAUAAUUAUAAAAAAAAGAUAUUGAAUUUAUGAAAUUUAAUUAAUAGACUAGGAUUAGAUACCCUAUUAUUAUAAAUGUAAAUUUAUUCAAAGUAGUAUUAGUUAUGAUCUUGAAAUUUAAAAAUUUUGGCGGUAUUUUAGUCUAUUCAGAGGAACCUGUUCUAUAAUUGAUAGUCCACGAAAAAUUAAACUUUAUUUAUAUAAGCUUAUAUAUCGUCGUUAUUAAAUAUUUUAUUAGAAUUAUAAUAUUUAAGAUUUUUAAUUAAAAAAUAUAUCAGAUCAAGGUGUAGUUUAUAAUAAAGUAGAAAUGGGUUACAAUAAAUUUAUUUUUAUGAAUUUGUGUAUGAAAAUAUAUAAUGAAGGUGGAUUUGAUAGUAAUAAAAUUUAUAUUAAAUUUAUGAUUAAAGCUCUAAAAUGUGUACAUAUCGCCCGUCACUCUUAUUAUAAAAUAAGAUAAGUCGUAACAAAGUAGAUGUACUGGAAAGUGUAUCUAGAAAGA